rnacentral:rRNA from 1 species
UACGUAGGGGGCAAGCGUUGUCCGGAAUUAUUGGGCGUAAAGCGCGCGCAGGCGGUGCGGUAAGUUGGGUGUUUAAACGCAAGGCUCAACCUUGAGGAGCAUUCAAAACUGCCGGACUUGAGAACAGAAGAGGAAAGUGGAAUUCCACGUGUAGCGGUGAAAUGCGUAGAUAUGUGGAGGAACACCAGUGGCGAAGGCGACUUUCUGGGCUGUAACUGACGCUGAGGCGCGAAAGCGUGGGGAGCAAACAGG